rnacentral:rRNA from 1 species
UACGGAGGGUGCUAGCGUUGUUCGGAAUCACUGGGCGUAAAGGGCGCGUAGGCGGCCGCCCGCGUCGGACGUGAAAGCCCGGGGCUCAACCCCGGAACGGCGUCCGAUACGGGGCGGCUCGAGGCCGGGAGAGGGGGGUGGAAUACCCAGUGUAGAGGUGAAAUUCGUAGAUAUUGGGUGGAACACCGGUGGCGAAAGCGGCCCCCUGGCCCGGUCCUGACGCUGAGGCGCGAAAGCGUGGGGAGCAAACAGGG